UGAAGAGCUUGGGGAAUAGGGGCACC
rnacentral:piRNA from 1 species